GCGGGCGUAGCUCAAUGGUAGAGUAUCAGCCUUCCAAGCUGAAUGUUGUGGGUUCGAGUCCCAUCGCCCGCU
rnacentral:tRNA from 1 species